AGCGAACGCUGGCGGCAGGCCUAACACAUGCAAGUCGAACGAUCCCUUCGGGGAUAGUGGCAGACGGGUGAGUAACGCGUGGGAACGUGCCCUUUGGUUCGGAACAACACAGGGAAACUUGUGCUAAUACCGAAUGUGCCCUUCGGGGGAAAGAUUUAUCGCCAUUGGAGCGGCCCGCGUUGGAUUAGGUAGUUGGUGAGGUAAAGGCUCACCAAGCCUACGAUCCAUAGCUGGUCUGAGAGGAUGAUCAGCCAGACUGGGACUGAGACACGGCCCAGACUCCUACGGGAGGCAGCAGUGGGGAAUCUUGCGCAAUGGGCGAAAGCCUGACGCAGCCAUGCCGCGUGAAUGAUGAAGGUCUUAGGAUUGUAAAAUUCUUUCAGCAGGGACGAUAAUGACGGUACCUGCAGAAGAAGCCCCGGCUAACUUCGUGCCAGCCGCCGCCGUAA
rnacentral:rRNA from 1 species